AUGCAACAAGCUCUAGACCUGUACCAUAGCCGCAAUGGACACCAGUUCAUGUAUGUACAUUGGCGGGAAGCUGUGAAGGAAAGCCAAAAGUGGAAGAUUCAUGUAUACACAGAAGGAGAUGGAACAAAGAGGUCACCACCAGUCCCAACUGAGAAUGCUCAGCGUCCCCCGGGUGUCAAGAGGGCGAAGAAAGCUAUAGGAAAAGAUAAGGAAGCCCCUACUGAGAUGAAUAACAUGCAAGAACAGAUUGGGGCUUUUCUAAAAGCACAAGCUGACACUAAGGCACAAACUGAUGAGAUGAUGGAAUUGCAGAGUCGUCUAUCUGCUCAGAAGGUAGAAGCUAACCGACUUGCAUAUGAGGCAGCAAAGGAGAGGACAGUGGCAAAGUUAGCUGAGGAAAGAACCAAGCGGUUUGACAAGUUCACAGAGAUGUUGAAUACCGACACUACAAGGAUGGAGCCAUGGGCAAAGGAGAUGCAUGUGAGGGCUGUCACAAGACUAGGGGAUCAACUUUUCAAGGAUGAAUAG
rnacentral:rRNA from 1 species